UACAGAGGUCUCAAGCGUUGUUCGGAUUCAUUGGGCGUAAAGGGUGCGUAGGCGGCGCGGUAAGUCGGGUGUGAAAUCUCGGAGCUUAACUCCGAAACUGCAUUCGAUACUGCCGUGCUUGAGGACUGGAGAGGAGACUGGAAUUUACGGUGUAGCGGUGAAAUGCGUAGAUAACGUAAGGAAGACCAGCGGCGAAGGCGGGUCUCUGGACAGUUCCUGACGCUGAGGCACGAAGGUCAGGGGAGCAAACGGG
rnacentral:rRNA from 1 species